UGUGCGGGGUCCGUCCCGCAAGUCGAAACUUGCACGGCUCAACCACUCUUGCUUCCUCAGCUCUCACCGUCAAUGGCGUCCAUCUCCAAGCUCCCUCCGUCGUCAUCUCCCCUCUUCUUCGUCCUCCUCCUCGCCGUCUCCGCCUCCGCCGCCCUCUCCCUCCACCUCAGAACCCUCGGGGUCAACCCCGGCGGCGGCGGCAACGGGGGUGGCGGCCGCAGCGGCGACGACGUGCACGACCUCCUCCCCCGGUACGGGUUCCCCAAGGGCAUCCUGCCCGACAACGUCGCGUCCUACUCCCUCUCCGACGACGGCGCCAUCGAGAUCCGACUCCGCGGCCCCUGCUACGUGCAGUUCGACCAGCUUGUCUACUACGACCGGAAGAUCACCGGGAAGCUGAGCUACGGGUCGGUGUCCAGCGUGUCCGGGAUCCAGGCGAAGAAGCUCUUCGUCUGGCUCCCCGUGACGGGUAUGAAGUCGGACUCGGGCUCGGGCAUGAUCGAGUUCUACGUCGGGGCUCUGUCGGAGAAGCUGCCGGCCGAGGAGUUCGAAGCUGUCCCGGCUUGCAGGAGCAACGCCUGCGAUGAAAACCCUAAGGCAGCUUCCAUGUGAGGCUUUAACUUCACCUGCAUUGGUGCUUAUAGCAUCGGAUAUUGUAUACCACUGAGGAUAUAGAUCAAACAGUACCAGCUUCAAAUAUAGACCGAGGCUGGUGCUCGUCUUACAGGUGAAAGAGAACUGGGGAGACUGGAGUUUUCCGCCAUCAGUUCGAUGCGUUGGUGUCUCAUCGUGACAGGACAAGCACUCUUAUACAUAGUAUUUAGUCGACUCGCGAUGAACUUUGUUAUUGUUUCGCGGUGUGACUACCUCCUAGCCACUCGUGUGUGUAGAUCUGUUCCGUUAAUUUAACGUCAACCUAUGAUACAUCGUACAUGCUGUAAUUUCUUUUAUGUCCUGCCCCCUGUCGCGGGAACAUUCUUUUCAUCCCAUUCUUCUUUCUUAUGGAGGAGAUCAUGAUUGUAAAUUGACACAAUUGGGGAACAUAUUGUUUGCUUUCA